ACAAGGAUCCCAGCGGAGUCCAUUGAUCGAACCAGAAGCUUGCAGAACAGCCAUUUUUUAUAGUACAAACUACAAGUGAUAAAGGGCCGGGCCAGAGGCCUGAGCUUAAGAAGUGAUUUCCAGUGCCAAGAGUCGUGGGCAUGUUCGGUGAGGGCCCAGAAAUUACUGUCCUAGAGGUGGUACUGCUUGUGCCAAGCCACCGAUAGAGAACCUCCUUCUGCAAAUAGAAGCCAAAUAAGCCGUACGCAGAGGGUUUUGUUCUAAGUCUCAAAGCAUCGGAGGCCCAGUCCUCCUUCCUUCUUAGGAAGGCAACAAGUCUCC
rnacentral:lncRNA from 1 species